rfam:Ciona savignyi cont_20567, whole genome shotgun sequence.
GACCGCAUGGCCCAAUGGAUAUGGCGUCUGGCUUCGAAUCAGAAGAUUGAGGGUUCGAGUCCCUCUGUGGUCU